GGACACUGGUCAGUGGCAGAGCAUCAGCCUUGCAUGCAGAAGGUCCCAGGUUCGAUUCCUGGCAUCUCCA
rnacentral:tRNA from 1 species